GAGUUUGAUCAUGGCUCAGAUUGAACGCUGGCGGCAUGCCUUACACAUGCAAGUCGAACGGCAGCAUGAUCUAGCUUGCUAGAUUGAUGGCGAGUGGCGAACGGGUGAGUAAUACAUCGGAACGUGCCCUGUAGUGGGGGAUAACUAGUCGAAAGAUUAGCUAAUACCGCAUACGACCUGAGGGUGAAAGUGGGGGACCGCAAGGCCUCAUGCUAUAGGAGCGGCCGAUGUCUGAUUAGCUAGUUGGUGGGGUAAAGGCCCACCAAGGCGACGAUCAGUAGCUGGUCUGAGAGGACGAUCAGCCACACUGGGACUGAGACACGGCCCAGACUCCUACGGGAGGCAGCAGUGGGGAAUUUUGGACAAUGGGCGAAAGCCUGAUCCAGCAAUGCCGCGUGUGUGAAGAAGGCCUGGUGUAAG
rnacentral:rRNA from 1 species